rnacentral:rRNA from 1 species
CUACGGGACGCUGCAGUGGGGAAUAUUGGACAAUGGGGGAAACCCUGAUCCAGCAAUGCCGCGUGUGUGAAGAAGGCCUGCGGGUUGUAAAGCACUUUCGGUUGGGAGGACUGCUUCUAGCACUAAUAUUGUUGGAAGUUGACGUUACCUUCAGAAGAAGCACCGGCUAACUCCGUGCCAGCAGCCGCGGUAAUACGGAGGGUGCAAGCGUUAAUCGGAAUUACUGGGCGUAAAGCGCGCGUAGGCGGCUAGAUCAGUCGGGUGUGAAAGCCCCGGGCAUAACCUGGGAACUGCAUCCGAUACUGUCUAGCUUGAGUACAGGAGAGGAGAGUGGAAUUCCACAUGUCGCGGUGAAAUGCGUAGAUAUGUGGAGGAACACCAAUGGCGAAGGCAGCUCUCUGGCCUGAUACUGACGCUGAGGUGCGAAAGCGUGGGGAUCAAACAGGAUUAGAUACCCGCGUAGUC